UGGUAAUUUAUUAAACAAUUUUUAUGGUAUAAUUAUGAAUUUUUUUUUUUUUUUUUCUUAUUUUAGUAAAGAAAAAUUAAUAUGAAAUGUUUAAAUAUAAUUAUAUUUUGUUCUUUAUGGAAUAUAUUAUUUAAAAAUUUGUACGCUUAAAUAUAAUAUGUUAAGACUUAAUAAAUAUAUAUAUCAAUAUAUCUUUUGUACGAAAAUUACAUGUUCAACUUAAAAAAUUAAAGUGAUAUUUUUGUAAUAGUUAUAAUUCUUUUUUUUUUCUUUUUGGUGUCCUUUUUAAGUACGCAACCGAUUUUAUUUAUAGUUUUAAAGAACAAGAAUAAUUUACACCUGUGUAAAAAGAAAUAACCCUGAAUAUAUUAUAAUGCCCUACUUUUAUAUAUAUUUAAAAUAUAUAUAAUAUAAUGCUUAGUUGUUAAUAGAGAAAAUAAAGAAAUGAAAAUAAAUUAAAGUAAAAUAAAAUAAAAUAAAAUAAGAUAAAAGAUGAAAGUACGACAAAAGAAAAGGGGGAAUGUUUUAAAAUAACAUAUAAACAAUUAUUAAUAUAUAUAUAUAUAUAUAUAAGCUUAUAUAUAUGAAUGAGGCCCCUUUCAUUUCAUUAAAUAUUUAUAUAUAUUUGUUUUCCAUAUUAAAUAUAUAAUAAAUAAAAUCUUUUAUAAUCUUAAUUUUCUUAUGAAACUUUUUAUACGUAAUAUAUAGAUUAAAACUGAGGUCUAUAAUAUUAUGAACGGUUAUGCAUAUAUAUAUAUAUAUUAUUUUAGAAGGGUUAUAUUUUAUUAUUUUAACUUUAUUUUAAUAUAUAUAUAUAUAAUAUGUAUUUAGGAAUAUAGAUAGAAAAAAUUAGAUACAUAAACGUAUGUAUUUAUAUACAGGUUUAUAUAUAAUAAAAUUAAAAUAUACUAGUAUUUGUAUAUUUAUAUAUAUGUCUAUAUGAGUAAACAUAUCAAACUAUACACAUAAAAAUAUAUACUAAUAUUUAUCUUUAUAUAUAUGAACAUAAAUAUAUGCAAAUAUUUAUAUAUUUAAGCAUACACAUACAUAAAAAAAUACAUAUAAUUACAUAUAUAUACAUAUAACCAUAAACAUUAAAAAAUAUUUAUGUGCUUGGAUGUGUAUAUAUGAAAAUAUACAAAUAAAUAUAUAUAAAUAAAUAUUAACAUAGACAUAAUAACAAAUAAAUAUAUAUAAAUGUAUAUUAAAAUAUACAUAAUAACAAAUAAAUAUAUUUAUAUAAAUAUUAACAUAUACAUAUAAAAAAAUAAAUAUAUUUAUAUGAAUACACAUAUAUAUAUAUAUAUAUAUAUAUAUAUAUAUAUAUAUAUAUAUACGUACGUACACGCUUAUCAAAUAAAGAAGUCAUAUAUACAUGAUAUAUAAACAUUAAUAUAUAAAUUCAAAAUAUAUAUAUAUAUAUAUAUGUAUAAAUUUAUAUACGUAAAAUGUUUUUUAUAUAUUUUUUCUUUUUUUUAUGUUUUUUUUUUUUUAAUAACAAAUAAUUAGAUAUAAAAGAAAUUUUAGUUACAUUCAAUUAAAAGAAAAAACAAAUAAUAAUAUUAAUUGAUUUUUUUUUACUACUAUAUAUAGUUUAUAUGUUAGAAUAAAUAUAUGAGAAACAUAUAAUAAAUGAAAGAUUAAAAAAAAUAUAUAUAUAUUAUAUCAAAUUAUAAUAAACAAAACGUGCGUGCAUAUGUAAUAUACAUAUAUUUUAUUAAAGAUCUAAAUUAAUAUAAAAAUUAAUAAUAUAGUUUAUUAUCUAAUUAAUUAUUUGAGAAUAUGGUAACUUUAAGAAUUGACAAUUUUAAGAAUUAUCUGAUUUAAGAAUAUCCGAGCGAUCGAAUUAUCGAAAUAAUGAACCAAAUCAAAAAAAAAAAAAAGAAAAAAAAAAAAAACAAAUUAAAUAUAAAAUAUAUAUUAAAAAGGAUGUAUAUAAGAAAAAGAAAUGUUAUGAAUCAUAAUGGAAUAGUUACCAAAAUAAAAAAUUUCUUUGGUUAUAUUAAUGUUAUUAUUUAUAAAUAAUUAUUAUUAUUUUUUUUUUAUUACAUGCCCAUUUUGUGUCUUUUUUUUAGAAAUAUAUCUUUUGUAAUAUUUGUUAUUUAUAUAUAAUAUAUUUAAUGUGUUUAUUAUACAAUAGUUUUGUUAGUUGAAACUAAUUCUAGAAGAUAUAAAAUGAACAUAUAAAUUUUAUAUAAUCAGCAUGAAUUAUUUAUUAUUUGAAUGUGUCCUUAAAUUGUGAAUGAUCCUAAUAUUAUAUAACUUAAAAAAAUCACUUAAGGCGUUUAAAUUCUUUAUAUAUAAUUUAAAAUUAUAUCACAUAUCCAUAUUUUCUCUAGAAAUAUAUAUAUAAAUAAGAACCCUUCUUAUGUUAUAUAAUAAUGUAAUUUCUUGUUAAAAAAGAAAAUGAAAUAUAUGUACAUAUAUUUAAGUAAGAAAAAAAAAAAUAUAUAUAUAUAUAUAUAUAAAUAAUUUAAGAAUAUGUAGUUUUAUAUGUUAGUUUAUUCUGUAAUUUUAUAUAUGUAACAUAUAUAUGUCCUUGACUUAGCUAUAUAUAUAUUAAAAAUUAUUUUGUUUAGUAUAAUACUAAUUAAUCAAUAUAAAAUAUUAUAAUAAAAUAUUAUGCUAUAGUUGUAUUAUAUUUAUAUCAAUGCCAUAUUUCCCUAUGAUUAUCCCAAUAAAAUGCAAAUCAUAACAUAUAUGUUGUAAAAUAUAGUAUCUCACAGCAUAUAACAUUUAAGAAUAAAAAAAGAAAAUUAACAAAUUUAACGAUUUAUUUAUUUAUAGUUUUUAUGUUAUUAUAUGUUGUAAAACAUCAGUAUGCUUAACAAAUUAAUAGACACAUGUAUGUUCAUUUAAGAAAAGAUAUAUUUUUAAUUAUUUUAUAAUUAUUCAUUGUAAUUUUUUUUUUUUUUUUUUUUUUUUUUUUUUUUUUAAUACAUCUAAUUGCAUUUUAUUUAUAAAUAUAACAACAUUUAAGAAUUUUGAUUUAUAUAAGAAAUAUUUUACCUCCCCUAGUUUCUCUUUAUUUUAAUUUUUAUUUUCUUGCAUUUCUUAUUUAUUAUUUUUUCUUUAUAUAUAUUAUUUAUUAUUCCAUUCCCUAUUUAAUAUUACAUUUAUUUAAAAAUAUAAGUGGAA